AUAAAAUUGAGAAUGGAAAUGGGGAAUGUGCCAAAGAGACAACAACCCGACCAUAGAAAAAAAAAACAACAGCAGAAGGUCACCAACAGGUCUUCAAUGUAGCGAGAAAUUCCCGCACCCGGAUGCGUCCUUCAGCUGGCCCCUAAACAAAUAUAUACUAGUUCAGUGAUAAUGAACGCCAUACUAAUUUCCAAAUUGUACACAAA
rnacentral:lncRNA from 1 species